UGAGUCUUCCAUGCUUGUCUCUCGGGGCCACAAAACGAGUUCCUGGUAACUCCACUGAUAAUGCCCUGGGCGAAAGUCCCCGGGCCUAGGAUAGAAAGUAUCAAGGUGUAGAAAGUGCAUCACACACUUUGUUGAGUGAGUUUUGCAUUCGCCUAUAUUCUGCGGAAUUUCGCCUGGCGUACGGAUGAAGAGGUUUUUUUCCGAAUCCUUACGCGCCAGGUCGUCUGCGGAAAUCUGCCAGAGUAUCUUAGAUAUGGACGAGUUGGUAGGACUCGCCGGGCGGAGUUCACGCUCUUCUCGGCCGAGAAACCGCCUACACAGAAUGGGGCUUAAAUUGGGAAACUU
rnacentral:RNase_MRP_RNA from 14 species